rnacentral:tRNA from 1 species
GGCCCUAUGGCGCAGAUGGCAGCGCGUCGGCUUCCAGUGCAGACGCAGGUGAAUGUUCACCUGAACAGACAAGGAUUCUUCCGAAGGUCAUCCGUUCAAAUCGGGUUGGGGUCA